UGUGCGCAGGCGCCGUGCUGCGGCCUGGGAGCCGGCGCGGGGCUGUGCGCUUGCGCGUUGGGGUCCUGGCGUUGCGGCUUCGCCCUGACGUCCAGGUUUCGCACGUCUUCGUCUUCCUGCAGUGUCUUGCAGCCCAGGAGCUUUGGCCCGGGGAGGAGUCAGGCUGCAGGGCUGGUGCCGUCGACGGGCCGGAGGGGCUGAGCCCCUGCUGUUCACGUCGACGGAAGGCGGAACACGCGGACGGGCAGCCCAGCACCGCCGCGGGGCCGCCUCCUGCUCAGAGGGGUGCAGCGUGCUGGCCGCAGGAGUGCACGUCACCAGCUCCCCGAGUGGUCCCCAGCCUGCCAGAGCUCGGGGUUCUGCAGGCAGGGCGUCCUGCGCGAAGGGUGUCACCCGUGGUGGAGAAGCUGUCUGCAGUGAAAGUUCUCUGCUCAGUUAUAAAUAGGAAUCAGGCAUGCCGCGUGUGAUUGUCUGGAGGCCGAAGCAUUGCACACGCUCCUUGAAUCGCAGGAAGACCAGAAGUGAAAGAAGAUUGCAGGAAGAUGUGUCCCUCUGCUCAGAUCAGAGACACGGACAGGGACAGAAGAACUUCAAAGGAACGAAUUAUACUUACCAAGAGAGUUUACGUGGAAACGCCUAGUAAAAUGAGAGUGUGGUGAUCUUACGGGGAAAUUUUAUUUGGAAGAAAAGUUAGUUUGAGUGACACACCUCCUUGGGUUCGUUCCACAGUUUAGUGUACAUGGGAGGCAAAUAGAGGUGAAAAUAUUUGGAUGUUGGAAUCGUAUGAAAGAACAUUACAUUUCUUUUGUACUGAAUGGUAUUUUUAAAAGUUUCCUCCACACUACUAGCAAAUAAAUUUUUAAGACCUUUGUACAAUGAAAGAUUUAUUGAAGGAAAUUUGAAAAAUAGGGAAAGGAGUAAUGAAGAUGUUAUUUCUCCUGGGGACCCACCAGUGAGAGAUAAGAGCUGUUAACAUUUUUUCUUUGCCUGGAUACAUUGAUUUCUUCGUCAUUAUUUUUGGUAGUCUAUUGCGUGAGUAACCUACCAUCUCCUUAACCAAUCUCUAGUCAUUGUAUAUGGAUGUCAUCUCCAUGUUUUCUGCAUUUCAAAGAAGCUUAUGAUGAACUCCAUGUUGCACGUUUCUUUUUAAAAAUUUACGUUGCAUUAUGCUAAUUCCUAAAAGUUGAAUUUCUGGAUCAAUGAAACAUACAGAAGUUUUGGAUGUGUAUUGUCAAGUGGUCUUUUCCAAAUGGUGUAGCAGUUUAUGUCGCUUGUAGCGUACAUGUGGGUAUCUGUUACACUGUUGCCUUAUCAAGUAAAGAUACUACAAUUUACGAAGUCCUUAGGAAACUUUUAAAGGGUUUCUGUAUUUAAGAAAUAUUUGAUAACUUCCUGCUGUUUCAUAACUAACCAUUUUGGUUGGUAUAGUAUCUACCUUAAGCAAAUUAAAAUGAACUUAUUUAAGAAUA